GAUGAACGCUAGCUACAGGCUUAACACAUGCAAGUCGAGGGGAAACGACAUCGAAAGCUUGCUUUUGAUGGGCGUCGACCGGCGCACGGGUGAGUAACGCGUAUCCAACCUGCCCAUCACUUGGGAAUAACCUUGCGAGAGUAAGACUAAUACCCAAUGAUAUCCCACGAAGGCAUCGGAAUGGGAUUAAAGAUUUAUCGGUGAUGGAUGGGGAUGCGUCUGAUUAGCUUGUUGGCGGGGUAACGGCCCACCAAGGCAACGAUCAGUAGGGGUUCUGAGAGGAAGGUCCCCCACAUUGGAACUGAGACACGGUCCAAACUCCUACGGGAGGCAGCAGUGAGGAAUAUUGGUCAAUGGGCGAGAGCCUGAACCAGCCAAGUAGCGUGCAGGAAGACGGCCCUAUGGGUUGUAAACUGCUUUUAUAAGGGAAUAAAGUGGGUCACGUGUGACUUUUUGCAUGUACCUUAUGAAUAAGGACCGGCUAAUUCCGUG
rnacentral:rRNA from 1 species